GAGCGCAAGCGGCGUGUGGAGCUCAAGUGCAUGGAGCUGCAGGAGAUGAUGGAAGAGCAAGGGUACUCCGAAGAGGAGAUCCGGCAGAAAGUGGGGACCUUCCGGCAAAUGCUGAUGGAGAAGGAAGGAGUGCUCACCCGGGAGGACCAGCACGGGCGCCAAAUAGUGAUAGAAAACCACCACAUGGUGGACGGGGAGGAGUACGCCGCCGAGUACCCCGAGUACGGCGAGGGCUGCCUGCUGCAGUGCGACUGCUCGGAGCCUGCCGCAUCGCAGCCCGCGGCAGGAGGAAGGUGGCCGGUACGGUCCCGACCGUGUCUGCUUUUUCCCGCAGGCUGAAAAGACGGUCAAGCAGCUCCACCUCUCCCCCGCCCAAGAAGAAAAAGAAAAAGAAAUCGGGUCACCGCCGGAGCCGCAAAAAGAGGAAACCUGGCUCGGAGCGCAGCUGCGACAGCUCUUCGCCAAUCCGCAAGGAGAAGAAAAAGAAGGCUGGAAAGAAACACAGACGUGACAGGUCUGAGUCUGGAUCCCGGAAGAAGAGAAGACACAGGUCCAGGAGCCCCAAGAACAAAAGGAAAGAGAAAAACAAAGAGCGCAAGAGGUCCCACAGUGAAUCCCCAGCCUGGCGGUCGCACAGACGCAGUAGCUGCAGCUCCCACAGUGCUUCGCUCUCCUCUGAUUACAGCAACUCCAAAUCCCCCAGCAGGCUGAGCCCCAAGCACCGCGAGGACGGCCCCAAGGGCAGCAGCGCCCGCUCCAGCCGCAGCCCG
rnacentral:lncRNA from 1 species